GCCUGAUCCAGCCAUGCCGCGUGCAGGAUGACGGUCCUAUGGAUUGUAAACUGCUUUUGCACAGGAAGAAACAACGCUACGUGUAGCGUCUUGACGGUACUGUGAGAAUAAGGAUCGGCUAACUCCGUGCCAGCAGCCGCGGUAAUACGGAGGAUCCAAGCGUUAUCCGGAAUCAUUGGGUUUAAAGGGUCCGUAGGCGGUUUAGUAAGUCAGUGGUGAAAGCCCAUCGCUCAACGGUGGAACGGCCAUUGAUACUGCUAGACUUGAAUUAUUAGGAAGUAACUAGAAUAUGUAGUGUAGCGGUGAAAUGCUUAGAGAUUACAUGGAAUACCAAUUGCGAAGGCAGGUUACUACUAAUGGAUUGACGCUGAUGGACGAAAGCGUGGGUAGCGAACAGGAUUAGAUACCCUGGUAGUCCACGCCGUAAACGAUGGAUACUAGCUGUUGGGAGCGAUCUCAGUGGCUAAGCGAAAGUGAUAAGUAUCCCACCUGGGGAGUACGUUCGCAAGAAUGAAACUCAAAGGAAUUGACGGGGGCCCGCACAAGCGGUGGAGCAUGUGGUUUAAUUCGAUGAUACGCGAGGAACCUUACCAAGGCUUAAAUGUAGAUUGACCGGUUUGGAAACAGACUUUUC
rnacentral:rRNA from 1 species